UUGACCUGGCCAGGUGGCAGAUCUUCGAACAGCCUGCUCCAAGGUCCUCCCGGGGACAAGAAGGGGAGGAGGGGAAGCAACGCCAAAAUAGGUGGAGCACCAGAUGGCAAAACGGUAGGAGGCCACGUAUUCGCUGUAGGGAAAUCUAGAUUUUAUUUUCAAAGUAUCAAGUCAUGUGAUGAUGUUUUUCUAUAUGGCUACUUCUCUGGGACUAGAGCUGGUUGAAAUUCAGCCACAACCUCCAUCGCUGCACAUUGCGAGAUGCACCCAGGAAGACAGCAGUGGACACGCAUCACACUCUGGAACAUAUAAAAUCCACCUCAGAUCCCAGGACUGGGAAGCAAGCAUUUAGGAAGUCCUCUUUCAUGAGCGUCUCUGGUUGUGCUGACAUGGCUACUGCAACAUCCUGGAUUGAUUCGAAACACUUACCUUUUAUGGUCAUUUUGACCUUGGCGAAGAGGCAGAGGUUGCACAGUGCCGGAUCUGGAGAAUAAAGUGGAUGAGGAC
rnacentral:lncRNA from 1 species